GAUAAUUUAAUAUCCAUUGGUGCCAGCAAAUAUUUGUUAAGGGCAACGGGAAAUGGGUGAGAAUCCCAUACGGUCACGCCACUGUGAAAGGUAGAACAAGCUGCCAAGUCAGGAGACCAACCAAUGUGAUAAGUUGUUA
rnacentral:ncRNA from 1 species